CCUACGGGAGGCAGCAGUGGGGAAUAUUGCGCAAUGGGCGAAAGCCUGACGCAGCGACGCCGCGUGAGGGAUGAAGGUCUUCGGAUCGUAAACCUCUGUCAGCAGGGAAGAACGGUCACUGUGCUAAUCAGCAGUGAAUUGACGGUACCUGCAAAGGAAGCACCGGCUAACUCCGUGCCAGCAGCCGCGGUAAUACGGAGGGUGCGAGCGUUAAUCGGAAUUACUGGGCGUAAAGCGCUCGUAGGCGGUAUGUCAAGUCAGGGGUGAAGUCCCCGCGCUCAACGUGGGAACUGCCUUUUAGACUGGCAAACUGGAGUGUGUGAGAGGAUAGUGGAAUUCCAGGUGUAGGAGUGAAAUCCGUAGAUAUCUGGAGGAACAUCAGUGGCGAAGGCGACUAUCUGGCACAUAACUGACGCUGAGGAGCGAAAGCGUGGGUAGCAAACAGGAUUAGAUACCCGGGUAGUC
rnacentral:rRNA from 1 species